GAUGAACGCUGGCGGCGUGCCUAAUACAUGCAAGUCGAGCGAACAGACGAGGAGCUUGCUCCUCUGACGUUAGCGGCGGACGGGUGAGUAACACGUGGAUAACCUACCUAUAAGACUGGGAUAACUUCGGGAAACCGGAGCUAAUACCGGAUAAUAUAUUGAACCGCAUGGUUCAAUAGUGAAAGACGGCUUUGCUGUCACUUAUAGAUGGAUCCGCGCCGCAUUAGCUAGUUGGUAAGGUAACGGCUUACCAAGGCAACGAUGCGUAGCCGACCUGAGAGGGUGAUCGGCCACACUGGAACUGAGACACGGUCCAGACUCCUACGGGAGGCAGCAGUAGGGAAUCUUCGGCAAUGGGCGAAAGCCUGACGGAGCAACGCCGCGUGAGGGAUGAGGGUCUUCGGAUCGUAAAACUCUGUUAUUAGGGAAGAACAAAUGUGUAAGUAACUAUGCACGUCUUGACGGUACCUAAUCAGAAAGCCACGGCUAACUACGUG
rnacentral:rRNA from 1 species